GAUGAACGCUGGCGGCGUGCCUAAUACAUGCAAGUCGAGCGGUAAGGUUCUGCACUUAGUAUUUAACUAGAUUAAGUCCAUGCAAAUGGAAACUGACUAAACCUGUGAACUCCAAGGCUGGAGAACACCUGUUGAAUCCUGAGUGUAGAAUACACGAGCGGCGGACGGCUGAGUAACACGUAGGAACGUACCCCAAAGUGAGGGAUAACUGCUCGAAAGAGUAGCUAAUACCGCAUGUGAUCUUCGGAUUAAAGCUUCGGCGCUUUGGGAACGGCCUGCGUAAGAUUAGCUAGUUGGUGAGGUAAUAGCUCACCAAGGCGACGAUCUUUAGCUGGUCUGAGAGGAUGAUCAGCCAGACUGGGACUGAGAACGGCCCAGACUCCUACGGGAGGCAGCAGUAGGGAAUUUUCCACAAUGGACGAAAGUCUGAUGGAGC
rnacentral:rRNA from 1 species